rnacentral:rRNA from 1 species
UACGUAGGGUGCAAGCGUUAAUCGGAAUUACUGGGCGUAAAGCGUGCGCAGGCGGUUGUGCAAGACAGAUGUGAAAUCCCCGGGCUUAACCUGGGAAUUGCAUUUGUGACUGCACGGCUAGAGUGCGUCAGAGGGGGGUAGAAUUCCACGUGUAGCAGUGAAAUGCGUAGAUAUGUGGAGGAAUACCGAUGGCGAAGGCAGCCCCCUGGGAUAACACUGACGCUCAUGCACGAAAGCGUGGGGAGCAAACAGG